AGCAAUUUAUGAAACAGAGAGCAGAACGCUAUUCUGGAGAAUGAGAUGUCUGAUUUUUUUUUUUGUUCCAAGCUCUGCCAGAGUGACCUUGCACUGCCACUUUCUCUGUAUUUCAGCAUCCACAACUAUAAAAUACAUUAUGGGAAAUCAUUUUCAGUUGCUUUCAACUUGUUUUGGAUUCAACUCAUGAUCUUAAUGAUGAAGGAUGCCACAACCUGAUAGCAGCCAUCUGAGCCAUCCAGAUCUCUUGAGAGCCUGUUUCAGUAUUGAGAGGAAAUUCUGUACUCAGAGAGUGGUGAGGCCCUGGCACUGCUGCCCAGAGAGCUUUGGGUGGCUCAUCCCCGGAGGUGUCCAAGGACAUGGAUGGGCCCUGGGCAGCCUGA